CCCUUAGAUGUUCUGGGCCGCACGCGCGCUACACUGUUCGACGCAGCGAGUCUUAACCUUGACCGAAAGGUUUGGGUAAUCUUCAGCAAAGUCGAACGUGAUGGGGAUCGAUCAUUGCAAUUAUUGAUCGUGAACGAGGAAUUCCUAGUAAGUGCAAGUCAUCAGCUUGCGCUGAUUACGUCCCUGCCCUUUGUACACACCGCCCGUCGCUACUACCGAUUGAAUGGUUUAGUGAGAUCUCUGGAUUGACGCUGGCUAGGGGGCGACCCUUGGCCAGGCUGUCGAGAAACUGCUCAAACGUGAUCAUUUAGAGGAAGUAAAAGUCGUAACA
rnacentral:rRNA from 1 species